rnacentral:misc_RNA from 1 species
AAGUCAGCAGCAUCUUGAACUGUUACAAUAUUCUCAGAGUUCUCUUCUUCUACUGCAAUCCCAAACUCUUCUUCUAGGGCCAUCACAAUUUCUACAGUGUCCAGAGAGUCGGCUCCGAGGUCCUUAGUGAAAGUACUUUCAGGGCUGACCUUAGUGUCUGCUGGUAAAGCUAGUUGUUUUCUCACUAUGCUUAUUACCUUAUCAA